rnacentral:rRNA from 1 species
GGGUUGUGAGGUUAAGCGACUAAGCGUACACGGUGGAUGCCCUGGCAGUCAGAGGCGAUGAAGGACGUGCUAAUCUGCGAUAAGCGUCGGUAAGGUGAUAUGAACCGUUAUAACCGGCGAUUUCCGAAUGGGGAAACCCAGUGUGUUUCGACACACUAUCAUUAACUGAAUCCAUAGGUUAAUGAGGCGAACCGGGGGAACUGAAACAUCUAAGUACCCCGAGGAAAAGAAAUCAACCGAGAUUCCCCCAGUAGCGGCGAGCGAACGGGGAGGAGCCCAGAGCCUGAAUCAGUGUGUGUGUUAGUGGAAGCGUCUGGAAAGGCGCGCGAUACAGGGUGACAGCCCCGUACACAAAAAUGCACAUGCUGUGAGCUCGAUGAGUAGGGCGGGACACGUGGUAUCCUGUCUGAAUAUGGGGGGACCAUCCUCCAAGGCUAAAUACUCCUGACUGACCGAUAGUGAACCAGUACCGUGAGGGAAAGGCGAAAAGAACCCCGGCGAGGGGAGUGAAAAAGAACCUGAAACCGUGUACGUACAAGCAGUGGGAGCAUGCUUAGGCGUGUGACUGCGUACCUUUUGUAUAAUGGGUCAGCGACUUAUAUUCUGUAGCAAGGUUAACCGAAUAGGGGAGCCGAAGGGAAACCGAGUCUUAACUGGGCGUUAAGUUGCAGGGUAUAGACCCGAAACCCGGUGAUCUAGCCAUGGGCAGGUUGAAGGUUGGGUAACACUAACUGGAGGACCGAACCGACUAAUGUUGAAAAAUUAGCGGAUGACUUGUGGCUGGGGGUGAAAGGCCAAUCAAACCGGGAGAUAGCUGGUUCUCCCCGAAAGCUAUUUAGGUAGCGCCUCGUGAAUUCAUCUCCGGGGGUAGAGCACUGUUUCGGCAAGGGGGUCAUCCCGACUUACCAACCCGAUGCAAACUGCGAAUACCGGAGAAUGUUAUCACGGGAGACACACGGCGGGUGCUAACGUCCGUCGUGAAGAGGGAAACAACCCAGACCGCCAGCUAAGGUCCCAAAGUCAUGGUUAAGUGGGAAACGAUGUGGGAAGGCCCAGACAGCCAGGAUGUUGGCUUAGAAGCAGCCAUCAUUUAAAGAAAGCGUAAUAGCUCACUGGUCGAGUCGGCCUGCGCGGAAGAUGUAACGGGGCUAAACCAUGCACCGAAGCUGCGGCAGCGACGCUUAUGCGUUGUUGGGUAGGGGAGCGUUCUGUAAGCCUGU